rnacentral:rRNA from 1 species
GAAUCAAAACUUUCAACAACGGAUCUCUUGGUUCUGGCAUCGAUGAAGAACGCAGCGAAAUGCGAUAAGUAAUGUGAAUUGCAGAAUUCAGUGAAUCAUCGAAUCUUUGAACGCACAUUGCGCCCGCCAGUAUUCUGGCGGGCAUGCCUGUCCGAGCGUC